rnacentral:lncRNA from 1 species
AUUGUAACACACUUAAUUCUCAAAUAAUAUUCAUGCAAUUAUCACAACAACUAGCAAAAAUAAAGUUUUGGUGAACUAGAGCCACCCAAAAGUACAUCACAAAUUUCCAAACACAAAAACAAAAAUAAUACAAAGAAAAGAAACUCAAAAUGACAACAACUCCUCAAAUUCACCAACUUCUCAAUCCUCCUCCUCUUGGCCACCACCUACAUCACCAAGGAUGUCCUCCAUCUCCUCAUUAGGGUUUGCACCACCUCCUGCACCCCCCUAUAAAA